UACAGAGGGUGCGAGCGUUAAUCGGAAUUACUGGGCGUAAAGCGCACGUAGGUGGCGACGUAAGUCGGGUGUGAAAGCCCCGGGCUCAACCUGGGAAUUGCAUUCGAGACUGCAUUGCUGGAGUACGGAAGAGGAAGGCGGAAUUCCCGGUGUAGCGGUGAAAUGCGUAGAUAUCGGGAGGAACAUCAGUGGCGAAGGCGGCACUCUGGGCCGGAACUGACGCUGAGGAGCGAAAGCGUGGGGAGCAAACAGG
rnacentral:rRNA from 1 species